UUCUCUCGUCUUUCUCUCUCUUUAUGCGUGGUUUUGUUCACUUCUUCUUUUUCUGCCUGUUCGUGGAUUUUGAAAGAAAGAGAGAAGAGAAGAGAAGGAAUGAGAAG
rnacentral:ribozyme from 1 species